rnacentral:rRNA from 1 species
CAGCCGCCGCGGUAAUACGUAGGGGGCGAGCGUUGUCCGGAAUUAUUGGGCGUAAAGCGCGCGCAGGCGGUCCUUUAAGUCUGAUGUGAAAGCCCACGGCUCAACCGUGGAGGGUCAUUGGAAACUGGGGGACUUGAGUGCAGGAGAGGAGAGCGGAAUUCCACGUGUAGCGGUGAAAUGCGUAGAGAUGUGGAGGAACACCAGUGGCGAAGGCGGCUCUCUGGCCUGUAACUGACGCUGAGGCGCGAAAGCGUGGGGAGCAAACAGGAUUAGAUACCCUGGUAGUCCACGCCGUAAACGAUGAGUGCUAAGUGUUAGAGGGGUCACACCCUUUAGUGCUGCAGCUAACGCGAUAAGCACUCCGCCUGGGGAGUACGGCCGCAAGGCUGAAACUUAAAGGAAUUGGCGGG